rnacentral:misc_RNA from 1 species
AAAUUAUCUCUAUGUGUUCCUGGUCAUGACUAAAAGAUAUAAAAAUUAACAAGAAGCUUUAACAAUCAUUUCCCAAUCUCAACAGUUUGUACUUCUGGCAUCACCAGUAUCAUAUAUGUGCAGUGGACCCAUGUGCAAUAGAUCAAACCAAACACAUAAUGAAAUUGCACACUAUUCUAUUCACUUGAAUGAUACAUUUAAAGCAUCAAGAGUGAUGCCCUGCUAAUGCUUUGCACGUUGACAGUAUAGAUAUCUUAACUGUCAUUGUUGUUCUUCCACCUCUCUCUCUAACUUUAAUUGAUAAUUCUUGCCACCCGCUGACCAAAAUUGAUUAUCACAGGGCAUAGUUCUUAAACUGAG